rnacentral:rRNA from 1 species
CCUACGGGGGGCUGCAGUGGGGAAUAUUGGACAAUGGGGGCAACCCUGAUCCAGCCAUGCCGCGUGUGUGAAGAAGGCCUUCGGGUUGUAAAGCACUUUAAGCGGGGAGGAAGGCUCUAUGGCUAAUAUCCAUGGGGAUUGACGUUACCCGCAGAAUAAGCACCGGCAAACUUCGUGCCAGCAGCCGCGGUAAUACGAAGGGUGCAAGCGUUAAUCGGAAUUACUGGGCGUAAAGCGCGCGUAGGUGGUCUGGUAAGCGAUAUGUGAAAUCCCCG